rnacentral:rRNA from 1 species
AGUGAACGCUGGCGGCGUGCUUAACACAUGCAAGUCGAACGAGAACGGGUUAUAGCUUGCUAUAAUUGUCAGCUAAGUGGCGCACGGGUGAGUAAUGUAUAGGUAAUAUGCCUCUUACUAAGGGAUAACAAUUGGAAACGAUUGCUAAUACCUUAUACUCCUUGUCAACAGAAGUUAAUAAGGGAAAGAUUUAUUGGUAAGGGAUUAGCCUGUAUUGUAUCAGUUAGUUGGUGGGGUAAUGGCUUACCAAGACUAUGAACCAUAACCUGUUUGAGAGGAUGAUCAGUAACCCUGGAACUGGGACACGGUCCAGACUCCUACGGGAGGCAGCAGUGGGGAAUAUUGCACAAUGGACGAAAGUCUGAUGCAGCAACGCCGCGUGGAGGAUGACACAUUUCGGUGCGUAAACUCCUUUAUAUGAGAAGAUAAUGACGGUAUUAUAUGAAUAAGCACCGGCUAACUCCGUGCCAGCAGCCGCCGCGGUAA